rnacentral:rRNA from 1 species
UACGUAGGGGGCAAGCGUUGUCCGGAUUUAUUGGGCGUAAAGAGCGUGUAGGCGGCUUUGCAAGUCCGUUGUGAAAACUCGAGGCUCAACCUCGAGACGCCGGUGGAAACUGCAAAGCUAGAGUCCGGAAGAGGAGAGUGGAAUUCCUGGUGUAGCGGUGAAAUGCGCAGAUAUCAGGAAGAACACCCGUGGCGAAGGCGGCUCUCUGGGACGGUACUGACGCUGAGACACGAAAGCGUGGGUAGCAAACAGG